UCUCGACCAUCCCUCCGUUCUGCAACUCCUCCAGGAGCAGACACCGACCGAGUCGGGCACAAGCAUCGUUCAGAAUGACGAGGGAAGAGGUCCUAUCUUUAUCCGAUGUCUCUGAUUCUUUCCAAGAAACAGCCCUAUUUACAUGUCAUGGUUCUUCUUCUUCUUCUUCUUCUUUCUAUCUUUUCCGGUCUAAGUUGAAAAGAUUUCGAUGUUCACGUUGGUCGUGUAAGCUUGCUUGGUGUGGAACUAGUGGCGAACUUGUUGAGACUCAUAAUGGUGGUUUGCUAAGCAUUUCUUACAUCCAGAUAUAGUGGCUGAGUAUAAACACAUCUUCCUUUGGGAUGAAGACAUUGGAGUAGAAAAUUUUCACCAUGGAAGGUUUGUGGAAAUGAUGGUUCCAGUUUUCACAAAAGCUGCUUGGCAAUGUGCAUGACAUAUGAUCCGAAAUGACUUGCGUCAUUGGUGGGGGGUUUAGACAUGAAAUUUGGUUACUGUCUGCUCAGGGUGAUCGGAUUAUAAAUGUUGGAGUCAUAGAUAGUGAAUACAUCAUUCACAAGGGGACCCCUACACUUGGUGGAGAUCCUGAGAAAAUGUGAGUGAAAACAAACAAUCACUAUCUGAUUAGAGAUGUCUUCUUUUAUGCCUAAAAGAUGAGUAGCUUAUAUAUAUAUAAAGGAAACAUAUGAUGAAGAGCUGAUAGUAUUCAUAUCAAACUCACUAGUCUGAAUUUUACUUCUGGAGAUCAUAAAGCCAUUGGAGAUCAUCUGUUAUUUCCUUCCCUCAUUUUUCUCUAGCUUUUUGGUUUCCAAGGUCAAAAUGCUAGUUCCUUUGGUCAUUGAAUUAUCUCAGAAAUACUCGUGACAUAACUAGGUCCUUAUUUUGCUUGUUUUGAUCUAGUUAGGCUCAUAGUCGCUUCGUUAUUGUUGAUGUUCUUGUUAUGAUUAGCUUAAUUGUUAGCCAUCGAUAUAAGCUGUUGUAUCAUGUAAUUGAAAUCACAAUUUUUCGAAAUCACAAUUUUUCUUGAUCCUCAAUAGUUUAUAGUUAAUUUAUAUUGAAGCCUCACGCAUGUCUAACCUAUCAAACUGCCUUCAAGUGGCAGAUCUUUCUACUUCGUUGUCCAUUGAUCGUGCAACAAUCUGACACGGAUACUUGCAGGAUUCUAAUGGAUCAUCUACCACCGCUCUUAGAGCUGCUAUGAUACAUGGUUGCUACCUGAGCUGGGUAUCUUUAGAAGGAGAUGGCAACAAGCAGUGGAAGAAGAUUAAGUGCUGGAUUGACCCAUACCCUCGAGCUUGAAAGAUACAUCAAUUCAUUCCACCAUCUUCUCAACUUCGGUAAGAACACAACGCCAAGUACAAUAGUCAUCUACAACGCCAAAGACGAUGUUACUCCAUGUAUUAAGCUUACAUGAGGUUCUGCUAUUCGGAUAUCACCAAGUAUGAAAAUAUUUUUUUCCAGUGAAGUUGACAUUUGUAGAGUCCAUGACACCAUAAGAUGCCAUUUCUUUGAGAUCUAUAUUUAAGACUUGGAUUGUACA